rnacentral:lncRNA from 1 species
CCGGCCACCAUCACAUCUAGGAAGUGAGGAGCGCCUCUGCCCGGCCGCCCAUCAUCUGGGAUGUGAGGAGCACCUCUGCCCGGCUGCGACCCCGUCUGGGAGGUGAGGAGCAUCUCUGCCCGGCCGCCCCAUCUGAGAAGUGAGGAGACCCUCUGCCCGGCAACUGCCCCGUCUGAGAAGUGAGGAGCCCCUCCGCCCGGCAGCCGCCCCGUCUGAGAAAUGAGGAGCCUCUCCGCCCGGCAGCCACCCAGUCUGGGAACUGAGGAGCGUCUCCGCCCGGCAGCCACCCCGUCCGGGAGGGAGGUGGGGGCGUCAGCCCCCCGCCCGGCCAGCCGCCCCGUCCGGGAGGGAGGUGGGGGGGUCAGCCCCCCACCCGGCCAGCCGCCCCGUCCAGGAGGUGAGGGGCGCCUCUGCCCGGCUGCCCCUACUGGGAAGUGAGGAGCCCCUCUGCCCGGCCAGCCGCCCCAUCCGGGAGGGAGGUGGGGUGGUCAGCCCCCUGCCCGGCCAGCCGCCCCGUCCGGGAGGGGAGGGGCGCCUCUGCCCGGCCGCCCCUACUGGGAAGUGAGGAGCCCCUCUGCCCGGCCACCACCCCGUCUGGGAGGUGUGCCCAACAGCUCAUUGAGAAUGGGCCCGGAUGACAAUGGCGGCUUUGUGGAAUAGAAAGGCGGGAAAGGUGGGGAAAAGAUUGAGAAAUCGGAUGGUUGCCGUGUCUGUGUAGAAAGAAGUAGACAUGGGAGACUUUUCAUUUUGUUCUGUACUAAGAAAACUUCUUCUGCCGUGGGAUCCUG